GCUAUCUUUGAGAACACGAAUACUAAAAUUGGAACAGUGCAGAGAAGAUUAGCAUGGCUCCUGUGCAAGAAUGAUGUGCAAAUUUGUGAAGUGUUCCAUAUUUUA